rnacentral:rRNA from 1 species
UACGUAGGGUGCAAGCGUUACUCGGAAUUACUGGGCGUAAAGCGUGCGUAGGUGGUUUGUUAAGUCUGAUGUGAAAGCCCCGGGCUCAACCUGGGAACGGCGCUUGGGACGGCGAGGCUGGAGUUCGGGAGAGGAGAGUGGAAUUCCCAGUGUAGAGGUGAAAUUCGUAGAUAUUGGGAAGAACACCGGUGGCGAAGGCGGCUCUCUGGACCGACACUGACGCUGAGGCGCGAAAGCGUGGGGAGCGAACGAG